AGCAAAGCACUGAAAAUGCUUAGAUGAGUAUUUAUACUCCAUAAACAC
rnacentral:tRNA from 1 species